AUAAAUAAGAGAUGCUUCUUAUUUAUUCCCCUAAAGACACAGACCUUCUAUUUUCUAUACAAACACGUCAUCAAAGAAAUGUGUUCGAUUCAGAUAAAAUUUUUUGCAAAUAGGAGCCAUGAGAUGUUUAUUAUUUUUCCACAGUAGUAUUCCCCAAAGUGAGGAGGUAUACAAGAUAACUGGAAGUGGUUAAAGUCAAGAUCUUUUAAAUUAGGUUGUUUUUGUCAUCUGUGCUAGGGAAAAUUGGAACUGGCAUAUCAAACAAAGACAGAUAAGAUAAAAGUGGAUAUUUAAGUUUACAUCAGAAAUAGAACUAGUAAAGAAUAGGAUGCCACUCAGAUAUGGCAGAUAGGACUGAUAAGCAAAUAGACUGAAGUUUGAGAGCAAUGCACCAUGCUAUGCUGCCUACUAAGAUACAAAUCAACCUAUGCAAUGCAACAUGCAACACAUUUUAGAUUAGCAACUGCAAAUACAGUCUGUUUUUUCUUCAUGUGAAAAGAGGUUUGUUUUAGAGGAAGAGGAAUGGGAAUAAAACUCAAGAUCCACACAGAACUGGAAUUGAACUGCAGUAGCAAGUUUGUAUAGCUGAUCCCCACCAGCCUCCAUAACCUGCUUAUACCUUCCUGUCUUACUGUGCAGAUUUUCUCGCUAGGUACUUAGCAAUAUUCACUGGAGUGAGAAUUGGCUUUGCUAAAGUUACGGUGCUUUUGCAGGAUUUCUGAAGGUGAUAUAACGUUAUUGUUGCAGAACUUGAGAUAAGACAAAUGUUCGUCUUGCCCUAGGCGUGGAGGGAGAAUAUGAAAGAAUAAUGAACCUCAGUGAGCUGCGGGACAACCUCUCCCACCUCCAACUCCACCCACUGGGCUCUUCUCAAGUUGCUGUGUUCCUUCAGGGCCACUUGCCAGGAUUUAAAUACGUUGCUUUAGGGAAGAUUGUAUAACAAUUUGGGAUCAAGCCUCAAGUUAGUCUUGCUCUAAAGUCUGGAAAAUUUGGGGCAGCUGGUAUUUUCAGUGUCGAGAAAGCCAGUGGUCAGUGAGAGAAAACAAUGAAGCUGGUAGAAAAAGAAGCGAUAAGGGGGCAAAGAUACUAUAGAAGGUCCCCAGUUGAGGCCCAGCUUAUCUUCUGUCUGUAGGUUCUCUGAGACCCCUCCCUGGUUUCCUUAUGCCUCUUUGUGCUUAAACUAGUCACUUGGGUUUCUGACAUCAGUGACCAACAGGUUCCCAAGUGGGACCAAAAGUACUCAAGACCUAUUUUAUGUUGCAAAGGGGACUUAAUCAAAGUAGGAGGUACACUGUGCAGAAUGCACAAUUUCAAAGGUUUUUGUGAUGUGAAUUUAUUCAGAUUUGGCCUGCUUCUUUGUUUUGUUUUUUACUUUCCAAGCAUAUACACUGAGCUUAGGAAAGCUCUAGUUUAUUAUUAUUAUUAUUAUUAUUAUUAUUAUUAAAAUGGUGCUAAAUUACUUAUUAAUGAGUCCUUGAAGUAUAUCAAACACUUGACAUGCAUUAUAUCAUUUAUGGCUCCUAACUACCCUUUGAGCUGAGUGUAGCUACCCCUUUGAAGUGGAGGGUGCUUAAUUAACUUGGGCCAGGCAUAUAAGUAAGGAAGUAUAAAAUCCUGGCAUUUAACAGAAUUUGAAACCUUGAGCAAGUCAUGUGGCCACUCCAGGCCUCAGCUCCCUCCUGUGAAAAAUUAGUUGAACUGGACGUUCACAAUGAUGUAGACUUGUGGAGAGAGAGUUCAGACAUCCCAACUACGGUCGUGCCAGGAAGCAAGUAAGAAACACCUGGGGUAAGAAAAUGAGCUUCCCAAGGGAUGAAUUCUCCUUUAAAGUCCGGCCACCCCUCCCUCCCACUCUUCUCUCUAUCCAUAAUACUCCUUAAUGUGAGUCAGGUGUUAAAAAAAAAAAAAAAAAGGCAACAACAAAAGUUGUAAAUAUUCUCUGUGCCUCCUUCACUUGAAAGCCGAAGCCCUCCCAGCAAUGCAUUCAUUAGCCUGACUCUCCAGUGCGUGCUGACAGGGAAAGACAGUGGUCACAUGGGGCAAGAUCUCAGCUCUGCCACUGUAUUAGUCAGCUAUUGCUGUGUAACGAGCCACGGCAGAACUCAGUGGCUUAAAACAAUCAGGAGGCCUCCCGGAAGCCUUCACAAGAACAGGUUCUAAAAUGACUGAGCAGGAGACAGAUUACAGGGAGUGAAGAAUGAACGGUGACGAGGACUUGGGAGGUCUACAGUGAAGGGAAGGGGAGAGAGUACAGUAGCGUGACAGGGAAGCAAGACCAAAGAAAGGCUGUGGUUGGCAGGGUGAUUUUGAUUUAGUAACGAACAGGCUCUGGCACUUGCUAGACUCAAGGUAAGGUGCUAAUCUCGAGGGAGCAAUCGAAGGUACGAGAGAAGUUAUAAUCAGUGCAGUGUCCACGGGAGAUGGAAAGAAUGAGAACUGAGGGCACCACUAAAGGACUUGAACUUAGAAGCCAGAAGAGAAGGGUCUUUAUUUUGAAAUGUAAUGCGAGAAGAAAGUGCAGGUGGGGCUGAGGGUGGGAAAGGAACGCUUACAUCACCUGUUAUGAUUGAGAGAAUCAUGAAUUAAAUAGAGUUGAGAGUUUAAAGUUGUCCAGAGCCUAGAUCUUAAACUCUGUAGUGCUUUCUUCUUUUCAGUAUUCCCACUUGUUUAUUUUUGAAUCAUCUGUCCAUCCUGAAAACACCUAUCAGCAGGCAGUUAGCGUCCUAGGCAUGCUUCAUGCAGCAACUAAAUGUCAAGCAGAAAAAAAACACGAGUCCACGCGCCCUGUGUUUCAUUAGCACCGUCCGGUGAAGUCACAAAUCCUGACCGAAUUGAAAUCUAAGCCACACCGCCACCAUCAUGGGGUCUGUGCUUGCAGCUGUUUUCCUCUUGGAUUCUGAAGGGCUGAGUUGUUACUACGAGCUAAGAGGCAGUCAGCUCCUCCUCACCACAUUUCCAAAUCUACUGUUCGUCUCUUUUCUUCUUCCCCAACGUGUACCCUGUUUUCCGGUGCCUCCUAAAAUAACAGCAGAUUAGCAACCAGGCUGGUAGAAUAGUGAGGUAUCGUGAAACAGCAAACAUACAUCGCUUAAUAAUCAUAAGCAGAGUUGGUUUUAGGGAACAGUAGUCACACACCAUUGCAAGCUCACAUUUCAUUGCUUGGUGUGUGUCACUUCACCAGCUGAAGAUCUGGGGACAGGAAAUCACAAAUAAUGUGAAUUCUGGAGCACCUAACUCCGGAUCUUGGACUGAGGUACGCAUCAGCCGGUAUACAUUGGGCUGCUAUUGACUGAGACACAGCGCCCCCUAAUUGAAGCAUCCUUCUGUUCCUUCCUGGUGGACAGCAGAGGGGUUUGCUGGGGAUCGAGAGAAAAUGAUGACACGGCUGAAGGACAUCAACCCUCUCUCUUUGCCUCUGGCUCUUUUCUCCUUGGAUUUUCCUCCUGUGGGGUGGUAUUAGACAUAUUUUUCUUUAGGAGCCUCCUUACCUCCCCAAGUCAAUAAAACUGUUUCCUAGGU